rnacentral:rRNA from 1 species
UACAGAGGCCUCGAGCGUUAGGCGGAAUCACUGGGCUUAAAGCGUGUGUAGGCGGAUGCCUAAGUACCUUGUGAAAUCCCACGGCUCAACCGUGGAACUGCUGGGUAUACUGGGUGUCUUGGGUCAUCUAGGGGCUGCCGGAACAAAUGGUGGAGCGGUGAAAUGCGUAGAUAUCAUUUUGGAACGCCAACGGCGAAAGCAGGCAGCUGGGGGAUGCACCGACGCUGAGACACGAAAGCCAGGGGAGCGAACGGGG